ACGAGUGGCGGACGGGUGAGUAAUGUCUGGGAAACUGCCCGGUGGGAGGGGGAUAACUACUGGAAACGGUAGCUAAUACCGUAUAACGUCGCAAGACCAAAGAGGGGGACCUUCGGGCCUCUUGCCACCGGAUGUGCCCAGAUGGGAUUAGCUUGUUGGUGAGGUAACGGCUCACCAAGGCGACGAUCCCUAGCUGGUCUGAGAGGAUGACCAGCCACACUGGAACUGAGACACGGUCCAGACUCCUACGGAAGGCAGCAG
rnacentral:rRNA from 1 species